GCGGCGCGGCGCGGCGCGGGCUUUCCGGGCGAGUGACCGUUACGAGCGAAGUUUGGAGCGUGGCCCCGGAGCAGGGCGUUGUGGAGCUCCUCGGGGCGGGGGAGGAGGCUUCAGGAGCUUGGAGGUCGUAGUGGCGCGGCUGGGUGUAAGGGGAUGAAAACGCUGAGUGCCUGGCGUGGGCAUUGUUUUUUCCCCUCUGCCUGAGGUGAGGUGAAAUGAAGUAAAAAGAAACUAAGGAGAAGUAAGAAUACAUUAAUUUAUAAUAAACUGCCUUAGUCGUUGUAAACUUGACAUGUGUAGAGGGUGGUGGAUACUCCUCGAGUGAAGCAAAUCUGCUGAAUUACUAGCGGGUUUGGAAGCUUGUUUUCUGGAGACAGUGUCUCCUCCGCGCCCUUGCUCAGCUAAGGUGCCAUCGUGCUGUAUCAUCAUGGUUUGACUCUACAGACUGUGGUCUCACUCCACAGUUUUGUGGCACAGAGUCAGUUUUUUGUCAGUUCAGGUGACCCUGUGAUGGAGACUUACCAUAAAAACAAGCCUUUCGAAUUCUGUAAUAGGAUCAGGAGCAGGGAGGUUCUCCACAGAUGUAACGUGAUGGUUACUGGAGUUUUCUUUCUCAUCCUUGGAGAGCUAAGUGUCAGAGGCAAGGAUCUUGCUGAGUGGGUGUGAGUAGCAUGAAAGACAGCGUAUUUAUCUGUAUAAAUACAGCCUUAGCUUUGCUCCUUUUAAUUUUUUAAGUUACUAUUUAUGCAAUUUCUGUCAACUGUGUGUUGACCUAGAAGUCUAAGAUGCAUUCUGAGGUUAAACAGUUUGUCUUACAAUACUGGUAGCCAGUUCUUCACUGAAGGCUAGAACUGCAAGCAAGUCUUAAUUUCUUUGCUAGAAAAACUAGAUGGAAAAACAGAGCAGACCAGGUGGUGCCUGCCUCUUGAGUCUUUAGGUGUUAGGUAUGUUUUUGCUCCUCCUUCAUGUUACUGCUUGUGAUGCAAAUACUAUGAUUUUUCUCCAGGAGUAGUGUGGUAGCCUGUUCCUUUGACCAAAUGCAGCAUACAUGGUCCCUCCAGUGAAAAGGCUUGGCAAUGCUACUGGCUUCCCCUGGGUCUGACCUGAGUCCGUGCGUGUGUUUUCACAGAUGCAGACAUUCAGCUGACUCUCAUUUGCUCUCUCUGAAUCUCAGCCUGUAAAAUGGUUGCAUGCUAGUAGCUCUGUUUAUGGGAGAAGCCUUACUGAAGUUAAUGGGACUACUGUGGCAGUAAUAUUGCUAGUAAAUAGCCUUGUAAUUCUCUGAGUCAUAAAAUAUGUAAUAACACUGAGCGUUCUAUAAAUGCAGGUCCCCAGUUUGGUGUAUUAAGCGUGAAAUGAUGACUUGAGUGCUUUUCCUCAAAGGUACUUGCCUCUCAUUGUUGCUUCCUAGUUUCGGAUACGCUCAAUGCUGGGAGAAAAUGAGAUGACCAUAUUAACACUGUCUGCCUUCUCCCCACCUCUCCAGAAAAGCUCAACGAAAGUAGGACUGUGGUUUGACAUAUUCAACGCACUUUUGCUCUCACUAAAGCGCAGUAUUCUGUUUGGCUUGUGUGGUGUCAUUUAGCCAGUUUGUCUGGCUAAAUUUCAUCUCAAGUGAAUAUUUCUUGUUAAACACAGGCCGCAUUGGGACACGUCUGCGUCUCGUCUCUUCUUUGCUGUCUGAACGCAGGCUGGCCUCCUUGUGUCAUCCGUUUGCAUUGUGUCUUGCUGCGAUGCUAGCUUUGCCAGGGAGAAAAUAGGAGGUGAAUCGUGUAUCCUUUCAGAAACCUUCUGUUAAACUUGAAGUGCUGCAGUUCAAGCAAUUGAACAGAUGGAUAAUGGAGACUGGGGAUAUAUGAAGGCGAACUCCCGUGACAUGAAAGACUAACUUUGAAAUCCAUGCGCUGAAGAAGGGACGUGGUUAGCGCGGCCAGUCGCAGCAGUGUAGUCCAACGAAGCCUCGCUGGCUGGGGCUGUCACAGGUUGCCAAAGCAUUUUAUGGUGUCUUAUGCUCUGCUGCCGCCGGUCUCCCGUCCUGCUGCGCCGUCCAGCAAAGACGUGCCCCGUUGUGUGGUGUGUGCCUGGGAAGUGAGGCGGGCAAUGUGUCGUGGCAGCUCUGGAGAAAGACGUGAGCUCCUACGAUGAAAUUCUUGCUGGAGUUAAAUAACUCUCCUGCAGCCUCGCAGCCACAGAUGUGGCCACAUCAAGAAACAUGAGUGUCCAGCGAAGGUUUUACAGACUCUUGGUCCAGGUCCAGCACUGGAGGUAAUCUUCAGCUCACGAAGGUGAGAAUGGCUGUGCUUGGAAACGAUGUGAUUUUUAAGCGAAUGCUUCAGCAGUAAAAGCGUCGUCCCCAAAGUGCUGUCGCGGAGGGCUCGAGCCUGCAGCCCUCGCCUCGGCCACGGUCUCCCCGCGCCCGGACGCGCGCCGCUGGGCUGCUGCGGCCCCGCGGCCGCUCCGGGGCCCGGCACAGCUGCCCAGUGGUGCUCGUCCACCGCCGGGUUGGUGGGGGGUCUGCGGCGUGCGGCUGGAUCCCUGGUCACAGCCCAUGAGCAUGAUGCCGUGGUGAGCCGGAGGGAUUUCUUCUGGCUGUGUGAGUCCGGCCUGAGCCGGGACAGUGAGAUCGGACCCUCGGCUUCGCUUGUGGGCCAUCAGCUGAAAACGUACUAGCAGACGCUCCUGAGCGCUUGCAGAUGGGGUUUGCAUGCUGCCGUGCUCCGUGCACCUUGAUUCUUUUCAGAUCAUAUUAGCAGAUGCAGGAACGUUUACAUCUGCAGCCUUUUCUUUGAUCAUACGAGUGCUCAGUUUACCGAGGCGUUUUGGAAAGGUUUUCCACCCAAGGACUCCCAUAAACACCCCUGUCCAACACAGAGUGAGCUGCUAACACUGAUUCCACUGGUUUCCACGAGGCUCUUCAGAGCUGCAGCUGCCCUCCUGCUACCCUGCGCUCAGCAAGUCCUCCUCUGGUCUGAGGCAGGAAUCUCCCAGCCUGUGGCAAUGCUCAUCCCUCCGCAGGCUUCUCUGGCUUAAACAUGCACUGUUGUCUCAAGAGUCACCAAGAGCUAGCUGGAGGUUAGCGUGCACCCACAGUUUGGGGGGAAAGUGACAUCAUUUCUCUCUGCAUCUUCUCAUUGGAAAAGGUGGAGAGUGCUCCUCACUCCAGAACUGGCAUGGAAGAAGGGAGGAGGUUUGAAUCCUUCCAAGGAAAGGAGGCCUGUGAGCCUGGGAAAUGCUCUUAACCAUUAGGUUAUCAUCUAAAGGAUAUCCGUGUCAGCUUGGUGGCUUUUGUGGACCGGCUCUGACAAACGCUGACAGCGUUUGAUUGUCUUGGAACCCAGAGACACCAGAAGAGACUAUUAAAAUUGAUCUAAAUCUGACAAGGCUCCAAACCUAAGCUGGAUGAUUAAAAGGUUUAAUCGCUUCCUGUUUUUAAAUAAGAAAAAAAAAAGAAUAAAAAAAGGGGUAAAUAUUUGGUUAAAGAUCCAACAGCAAGCAACCAGCAAAGGUAGAUUCCUGUUUGCAGUAGGCUUUGUUUUACGUAUUUGUUGAAAAAUAUUUGGGAGACCCGAACAUGAGCACAUUUAAAUUGGUUUCCGCAACCAGUGUUUCUCUCUGAGAUGUACAGGACUAAAAGGAGAGGGUUGAGGAGAUGGCAGGAUGGUUAUAGUGGAGCUGCCUUCUGCCAGUGUCUGACGGGAAACGUGGAUAUAAUAUAGUGGUGGGCGUAGGACUCAAACAGCAAACGAUGGUGCACUUCAGUAUUUGCCAGCUUGCACUGCUUGGUGCCCUGAGGGCUGUACCCUGUCUAUCCUGUCACAUUAUCCUGCUCAUCCCCUUGCUGUCCUGCCCCACCGUUUAGCUGAGCACCUCCAGGACCGCCCUACUGCAAGGGCAGUUGUUGCUGUCCCACAUCCUGUUGACACCAGUCUCUGCUCCACCUUGAGCCUGACCAACCAACCUUAUCUGACAGCCACAAGCUUUUGGCAAACAACAGCUCAUGUUUCCUUGUUCAUCUCUACUGUUUAAGUUGCAAUGGUUUUUCAUGCUUUGUUCCCUUGUGAUUGUGGUUACACGGGAAUUACAUUCUGGGAGAUCAAGGCCAAGGUGUGGUGAGCCUUUAGCUGAGCAGCAUCACUAGGCAGGAUAUGGUCACUAUUAAACCAGAAAGUUUUAAAAAUAUCCAUCUGGGACAGUUAACUCCACCUCAGUAGUGGGGGGCUGGGGUGGCUGAGGCAUGGUAAUUUUGUGUUUCCAUGGCUCUGUGAGCUCCAGAAUCAGUCAGACCUGAGCCCAGCCGAUGUCCGUAUUAAUUGAGGCAGCCACUGGCAGGCUUGGCUGCUUGCUGGGUAUGGCUCGUCCUUGUG